rnacentral:rRNA from 1 species
GGAAUAUUGCACAAUGGGCGAAAGCCUGACGCAGCCAUGCCGCGUGAAUGAUGAAGGUCUUAGGAUUGUAAAAUUCUUUCAGUAGGGACGAUAAUGACGGUACCUACAGAAGAAGCCCCGGCUAACUUCGUGCCAGCAGCCGCGGUAAUACGAAGGGGGCUAGCGUUGCUCGGAAUUACUGGGCGUAAAGGGAGCGUAGGCGGACAUUUAAGUCAGGGGUGAAAUCCCAGAGCUCAACUCUGGAACUGCCUUUGAUACUGGGUGUCUUGAGUGUGAUAGAGGUAUGUGGAACUCCGAGUGUAGAGGUGAAAUUCGUAGAUAUUCGGAAGAACACCAGUGGCGAAGGCGACAUACUGGAUCAUUACUGACGCUGAGGCUCGAAAGCGUGGGGAGCAAACAGGAUUAGAUACCCCGG